UACGUAGGGUGCGAGCGUUAUUCGGAAUCACUGGGCUUAAAGCGCGUGUAGGCGGGUGGGUACGUCGGCCACUGAAAGCCCCCGGCUCAACCGGGGAAGGGGUGCCGAAACGGCCGGCCUGGAGGGGCGUAGGGGGACCUGGAACUUCCGGUGGAGCGGUGAAAUGCGUUGAGAUCGGAAGGAACGCCCGUGGCGAAAGCGAGGUCCUGGACGCCAACUGACGCUGAGACGCGAAAGCCAGGGGAGCGAACGGG
rnacentral:rRNA from 1 species